rnacentral:rRNA from 1 species
GAAUCCUACGGGGGGCAGCAGUGAGGAAUAUUGGUCAAUGGGCUAAGGCCUGAACCAGCCAAGUCGCGUGAGGGAAGACGGUCCUAUGGAUUGUAAACCUCUUUUGUCGGGGAGCAACGAGGCCACGUGUGGCCGAAGUGAGAGUACCCGAAGAAAAAGCAUCGGCUAACUCCGUGCCAGCAGCCGCGGUAAUACGGAGGAUGCGAGCGUUAUCCGGAUUUAUUGGGUUUAAAGGGUGCGUAGGCGGUCCGGAAAGUCAGCGGUAAAAGCCCGGGGCUCAACCCCGGCGAGCCGUUGAAACUGUC